rnacentral:rRNA from 1 species
UACGGGGGGGGCAAGCGUUGUUCGGAAUUACUGGGCGUAAAGGGCUCGUAGGCGGCCAACUAAGUCGGAUGUGAAAUCCCCAGGCUUAACCUGGGAACUGCAUCCGAUACUGGAUGGCUUGAAUCCGGGAGAGGGAUGCAGAAUUCCAGGUGUAGCGGUGAAAUGCGUAGAUAUCUGGAGGAAUACCGGAGGCGAAGGCGGCAUCCUGGACCGGCAUUGACGCUGAUGAGCGAAAGCUAGGGGAGCAAACGGG